rnacentral:lncRNA from 1 species
CGCAGGACCCCCGGCCCCCCCGCAGCCCAAACACUCCAUCCUAUGCAUACUGCCCCCCCAAAUCACCCAAAACGACCACGCACCUGCAUUAUGUGACCCCCCACGCACCCCCACCCCAUUCUUCCCCCGGGGGGUGAUCAUGGACUGGGGGGCAGCUCUUCCGACCGCCCCCCAUUUAUGAGAAUGCUACCCAGCCAACAGAGCACCGACACCCCCCCAAUCUCCGCCCCGUACCCCUUUUUGCGGGGGGUCUUUGGGGGGGGUCCUGGGGGUCUGAGCCGGGCUGCGAGCCCUCGCGCUGGUUUGAACCGCCCGCUCCAUUCAUCCCGACCCCCCCGCAGCACAAAGUGGGGGGGUCCUUCACCUCCCCCCCCCCGCCCAUAUCCUCGCCCCCCCCCCCCGCAUGCCCGCCGAGGCUAGAUCAGCAUUCAGCAUCAGCAUCAGCAUCGCAUGCGGCAUCGGCGAUGGCGCCGAGAAUCCCGGUCCGUUCACUUUCUAUGGCCGUGUCCCGGUCCGUUCCUUAUGGCCGUGUCCCGGUCCGUUCCUUAUGGCCGUGUCCCGGUCCGUUCCUUAUGGCCGUGUCCCGGUCCGUUCCUUAUCUAUGGCCGUGCCCCGCUCCGUGUCCCGGUCUACCGUCAUUAUUAUGGCCCGCUCUUGUUGCGACGUCUGUACCGACCAAUAAAUCUGUGCGGUGACACCGGACCCGAUCGAGUCCACGGGGGGGGGGGGGCACAGCGACCCCCCCCCCAAUAGCAUCAGCGGGGUGGUAAAGGGGGGAUGGGGGGUAAGGGGGUACUGGGGGGCGUUGGUGCCUGCAUCCCUCUUGCAUCCCCUGCAGCAUCGCCUUGCAUCCAUCACCAUUGACCCCAUAGGCAACCCCACGGCCAGCCCUAUAGAUGGCCCGAAUGAACAGCCCCAUAGAUGGCCUCAGAUGGCCCCACCAUUGACCCCAUAGGCACCCCAUUAGACAGGCCACCCCAGUGUUCCAACCCACAGGGACAGCGGCAUACACACAGCCCCACAGAUGACACUGCAGUCCAUUGGUCAGCCCCACAGAUGACCCAUAAGAUGCCCUCAGCCCCUCACCAACAGCCCUACAGCUGACCCUACAUCCAGCCCCACAGAUGAUCCCACAGUUCACCCCGUGGACAGCCCCACAGCCAGCCCCACAGAUGACACUGCAGUCCCUCGGUCAGCCCCACAGCUGCCCCACAGACCCCCACCAACAGCCCUAUAGCUGACCCUACAUCCAGCCCCACAGCCCCCCACCAACAGCCCCACAUCUGCCGCGCUACAUCCAGCCCUGCAGUUCACCCCCCAGCCGCCCCCCAAGCACAGCCCCAUCACACCCGCAAAUACAACAUCCUUGUUAUUCUGUGACUCGGACGGGCAGGCCCCCCCCCCCCACACAGGCCCAUCGUGCCUGA